rnacentral:tRNA from 1 species
CGAUCGCGGUGGCCGGCGCGGUGCUGGCCUGGCAGGUCGUCGGCUCGUUCGGGGCCCUGUUCCACACCGGGUACGGCCGUC